AGGGGUGGGGAGGAAGAAAUUUCGGUUUCAGAAGCAACAGAAAAGCUGUCAAGGAGGGGCCAGAGCAGUUGGUGCCAAAGGGUUCUUUCUGUUGCUACGGACUAAUUGUUUUCUCUCCGAGAUCCACUUUCUUUGAGAGGAUGAUAAGUUUGAGAAAGUUAGGGUGGGGGGUAAUACUAGCUCUAAGGGAAGAGAAAAGGCUGGGCCAGUUCCUAGGUAAUAAUUGGAGAGAUAAAUGAGUACCCCUGGGGCAGAAGCCUUUGCCCAUGUUUUAUCUCUCCUGACCCAGCUCUCUGUCAGGGUGCUCUUGGCCCUUCCUUGGUUAAAUAAUACAAGGUGAUGGGGAGGACUGCAAGCCCUCACCCAUUCUCUCUUGCUUCCCACCCUUGCUACUGAGGCAUCUGGGGCCAAAGGGUUUUCUGAGGCACCAGACUGAGUCACUAGGCCUUAUUAAGUAAUAUGUGUGGGGUCAUACUAGGCACUUAGGGACACAAAAACCCCCAACUCUUACUGCCUUCUUUGAGAGAUGCUUUCCAGCCGGUGCCUUGGGGGGGGGGGAGAAAAGAGAAGUUUAGAAGUCCUCAGUGAGGUGCUCCAUUUCAAAUCACUGAACUUGUAAAUAAGAAGCAAAGGAGAGAAAACUUGAUGGGGGAGUCUAGUAAAAGACAAUUAGCUGGUGGGGGGAUGGACAGCUAGAUAGUUAGAGAGUUCCUGUGUUCAAGUCUGGCCUCAGACACAAAGCUUUGUGACCUUCACCAAGUCACUUAACCCUGAUUACCUACCCUUAGCAGUCUUCUGCUUUGGAGUUAGUAUGUUGUAGUGAUUCUAAGUUGGAAGGCAAGGGUUUGAAAAAAGACAGAGAGGGAAAAUCUGGUGAAAUCAUAGUACAGAUGAAGGCUUAAAGGGGGGGGGAAUAAAAGCCAGGGAAUUGAGGGGUAUAGAAUGGGGGGAAAGUUUUGGGCAACAAUAGUAGUUAUCACUCAAAAAGAACCAAAGCUUGAGAACCCUGGCCCAGGGUAAGGUCUUAAAACCAGAGCUUUGAGUACAAUGAGGAAAAAGUUCAGUGUUCCCAUAUAAAUAACCUAUCAGAAAAGAGGGAUUUAGGGGAAAGUGCUAUGUGUAGUACAUUAAGAAGGUCGGUUCUAUUUCUGAAACUUCUUGACCUUUUAUGGGGACAAAUAGUGUGACUAGGGACUCAGGGUGAUAUGGGUGCAGGCUCUUUCUGGUACAUUAGGAAGGCACGAUGCAUUCCCAAAAUGCUGUUGUUCACUGAUUUGGGGAGAGGGGUGCGGUAAGCGACCUGUGUCCUUCCAUGACACAUUUCAAUUUUGAAGCCUGAACAAUUUGGCCUUGGGUAGGGGUCCAAAAGCCAGAAAUCUGACCAGGAGCAGAACCUUUUACUCCCAACUAGUUCCCUUGCAGAAAAGAGGGAUAUGGGGGCUUCAGGCUCUCUCUGUUGCUUUAAGAAGACCUCAGCCACUCUUCACACUCUUUAAUCUGUCAUUUGUGGAAGAGGCAGUUUUACAAGUGACUCAGUUAGCACCCUUAGGCUUCUCAGUGUUGAAGCUUGAGAAAGCAGGCUCCUGGUAGGGCCCAAAAGCUAGAACUCUGUGGUCAUGAGCUGAAUGCCUUUUGCUCUCAACUAGUUCCCUUGCAGAAAAGAGGGAUGUGGGUGGGGGCAGGCUCUUUCUGGUACAUUAGGAAUACACUUCACAGUCCUAAUUUGCUGUUGAUCACUGAUUUGGGGAGAGGGGUGAGGCAAGCGACCUUCGCCCUACCAUGGCGCCUUACAAUUUUGAAGCUGACCUUGGGUAGAGGUCUAAAAGCCAGAACUCUGGCCAUGGGCAGAACACCUUUUGUUCUCAUCUAGUUCCCUUGCAGAAAAGAGGGAUAUGGGUGCAGGCUUUGUCUGGUAUAUUAGCAUGGCCUCAGUCACUCUUCACACUCUUUCAUCUGCCGUUUGCGAAAGAGGCAGUGUUACGAGUGACUCAGUUCGUACCCUUAGCUUCUCAGUGUUUAAGCUUGAGAAAGCAGGCUCCUGGUAGGGCCCAAAAGCUAGAACUCUGUGGUCAAGAGCUGAAUGCCUUUUGCUCUCAACUAGUUCCCUUGCAGAAAAGAGGGAUGUGGGUGGGGGCAGGCUCUUUCUGGUAUGUUAGGAAUACACUUCACAGUCCUAAUUUGCUGUUGAUCACUGAUUCGGGGAGAGGGGUGAGGCAAGCGACCUUCGCCCUACCAUGGCGCCUUACAAUUUUGAAGCUGGCCCUGGGUAGGGGUCUAAAAGCCAGAACUCUGGCCAUGAGCAGAAUGCCUUUUGCUCUCAGCUAGUUCCCUUGCAGAAAAGAGGGAUAUGGGUGCAGGCUUUGUCUGGUAUAUUAAGAUGGCCUCAGUCACUCUUCACACUCUUUCAUCUGCCGUUUGCGAAAGAGGCAGUGUUAUGAGUGACUCAGUUAGCACCCUUAGGCUUCUCAGUGUUUAAGCUUGAGAAAGCAGGCUCCUGGUAGGGCCCACAAGCCAGAACUCUGUGGUCAUGAGCUGAAUGCCUUUUGCUCUCAAUUAGUUCCCUUGCAGAAAAGAGGGAUAUGGGGGGGCAGGCUCUUUCUGGUACAUUAGGAAUACGCUUCACAUUCCUAAUUUGCUGUUGAUCACUGAUUUGGGGAGAGGGGUGUGGUAAGCGACCUUUGCCCUACCAGGGCACCUUUACAUUUUGAAACUGGAGCAAACUGACCUUGGGUAGAGGUCUAAAAGCCAGAACUCUGGCCAUGAGCAGAAUGCCUUUUGCUCUCAACUAGUUCCCUUGCAGAAAAGAGGGAUAUGGGGGCUUCAGGCUCUCUCUGUUGCUUUAAGAAGACCUCAGCCACUCUUCACACUCUUUAAUCUGUCAUUUGUAAGAGAGCUAACUGACCAGUGACUCAGUUUCUACUCCUAGGCUUCAGUGUUGAAGCUUGAGAAAGCAGGCUCCUGGUAGGGCCCACAAGCCAGAACUCUGUGGUCAUGAGCUGAAUGCCUUUUGCUCUCAACUAGUUCCCUUGCAGAAAAGAGGGAUGUGGGUUGUGGGCAGGCUCUUUAUGGUAUGUUAGGAAUACAAUUCACAGUCCUAAUUUGCUGUUGAUCACUGAUUCGGGGAGAGGGGUGAGGCAAGCGACCUUCGCCCUACCAUGGCGUCUUACAAUUUUGAAGCUGACCUUGGGUAGAGGUCUAAAAGCCAGAACUCUGGCCAUGAGCAGAAUGCCUUUUGCUCUCAGCUAGUUCCCUUGCAGAAAAGAGGGAUAUGGGUGCAGGCUUUGUCUGGUAUAUUAAGAUGGCCUCAGUCACUCUUCACACUCUUUCAUCUGCCGUUUGCGAAAGAGGCAGUGUUAUGAGUGACUCAGUUAGCACCCUUAGGCUUCUCAGUGUUUAAGCUUGAGAAAGCAGGCUCCUGGUAGGGCCCACAAGCCAGAACUCUGUGGUCAUGAGCUGAAUGCCUUUUGCUCUCAACUAGUUCCCUUGCAGAAAAGAGGGAUAUGGGGGGAGGGCAGGCUCUUUCUGGUACAUUAGGAAUACACUUCACAGUCCUAAUUUGCUGUUGAUCACUGAUUUGGGGAGAGGGGUGUGGUAAGCGACCUUCGCCCUACCAUGGCGCCUUACAAUUUUGAAGCUGGCCCUGGGUAGGGGUCUAAAAGCCAGAACUCUGGCCAUGAGCAGAAUGCCUUUUGCUCUCAGCUAGUUCCCUUGCAGAAAAGAGGGAUAUGGGUGCAGGCUUUGUCUGGUAUAUUAAGAUGGCCUCAGUCACUCUUCACACUCUUUCAUCUGCCGUUUGCGAAAGAGGCAGUGUUACAAGUGACUCAGUUAGCACCCUUAGGCUUCUCAGUGUUUAAGCUUGAGAAAGCAGGCUCCUGGUAGGGCCCAAAAGCUAGAACUCUGUGGUCAAGAGCUGAAUGCCUUUUGCUCUCAACUAGUUCCCUUGCAGAAAAGAGGGAUAUGGGGGGGCAGGCUCUUUCUGGUACAUUAGGAAUACACUUCACAGUCCUAAUUUGCUGUUGAUCACUGAUUCGGGGAGAGGGGUGUGGUAAGCGACCUUCGCCCUACCAUGGCACCUUACAAUUUUGAAGCUGGCCCUGGGUAGGGGUCUAAAAGCCAGAACUCUGGCCAUGAGCAGAACGCCUUUUGCUCUCAGCUAGUUCCCUUGCAGAAAAGAGGGAUAUGGGUGCAGGCUUUGUCUGGUAUAUUAAGAUGGCCUCAGUCACUCUUCACACUCUUUCAUCUGCCGUUUGCGAAAGAGGCAGUGUUACAAGUGACUCAGUUAGCACCCUUAGGCUUCUCAGUGUUUAAGCUUGAGAAAGCAGGCUCCUGGUAGGGCCCAAAAGCUAGAACUCUGUGGUCAAGAGCUGAAUGCCUUUUGCUCUCAACUAGUUCCCUUGCAGAAAAGAGGGAUAUGGGGGGGCAGGCUCUUUCUGGUACAUUAGGAAUACACUUCACAGUCCUAAUUUGCUGUUGAUCACUGAUUCGGGGAGAGGGGUGUGGUAAGCGACCUUCGCCCUACCAUGGCACCUUACAAUUUUGAAGCUGGCCCUGGGUAGGGGUCUAAAAGCCAGAACUCUGGCCAUGAGCAGAAUGCCUUUUGCUCUCAGCUAGUUCCCUUGCAGAAAAGAGGGAUAUGGGUGCAGGCUUUGUCUGGUAUAUUAAGAUGGCCUCAGUCACUCUUCACACUCUUUCAUCUGCCGUUUGCGAAAGAGGCAGUGUUAUGAGUGACUCAGUUAGCACCCUUAGGCUUCUCAGUGUUUAAGCUUGAGAAAGCAGGCUCCUGGUAGGGCCCACAAGCCAGAACUCUGUGGUCAUGAGCUGAAUGCCUUUUGCUCUCAAUUAGUUCCCUUGCAGAAAAGAGGGAUAUGGGGGGAGCAGGCUCUUUCUGGUACAUUAGGAAUACGCUUCACAUUCCUAAUUUGCUGUUGAUCACUGAUUUGGGGAGAGGGGUGUGGUAAGCGACCUUUGCCCUACCAGGGCACCUUUACAUUUUGAAACUGGAGCAAACUGACCUUGGGUAGAGGUCUAAAAGCCAGAACUCUGGCCAUGAGCAGAAUGCCUUUUGCUCUCAACUAGUUCCCUUGCAGAAAAGAGGGAUAUGGGGGCUUCAGGCUCUCUCUGUUGCUUUAAGAAGACCUCAGCCACUCUUCACACUCUUUAAUCUGUCAUUUGUGGAAGAGGCAGUUUUACAAGUGUCUCAGUUCGCACCCUUAGGCUUCUCAGUGUUGAAGCUUGAGAAAGCAGGCUCCUGGUAGGGCCCACAAGCCAGAACUCUGUGGUCAUGAGCUGAAUGCCUUUUGCUCUCAACUAGUUCCCUUGCAGAAAAGAGGGAUGUGGGGGGCAGGCUCUUUCUGGUACAUUAGGAAUACACUUCACAGUCCUAAUUUGCUGUUGAUCACUGAUUCGGGGAGAGGGGUGUGGUAAGCGACCUUCGCCCUACCAUGGCGCCUUACAAUUUUGAAGCUGACCUUGGGUAGAGGUCUAAAAGCCAGAACUCUGUGGCCAGGAGCAAGAACGCCUUUUGCUCUCAGCUAGUUCCCUUGCAGAAAAGAGGGAUAUGGGUGCAGGCUUUGUCUGGUACGUUAGGAUGUCCUUAGCCACUCUUCACACUCUUUCAUCUGCCGUUUGCGAAAGAGGCAGUGUUAUGAGUGACUCAGUUCCUACUUACCUUUAGGCCUCUCAGUGUUUAAGCUUGAGAAAGCAGGCUCCUGGUAGGGCCCACAAGCCAGAACUCUGUGGUCAUGAGCUGAAUGCCUUUUGCUCUCAAUUAGUUCCCUUGCAGAAAAGAGGGAUAUGGGGGGGCAGGCUCUUUCUGGUACAUUAGGAAUACACUUCACAGUCCUAAUUUGCUGUUGAUCACUGAUUCGGGGAGAGGGGUGUGGUAAGCGACCUUCGCCCUACCAUGGCGCCUUACAAUUUUGAAGCUGACCUUGGGUAGAGGUCUAAAAGCCAGAACUCUGUGGCCAGGAGCAAGAACGCCUUUUGCUCUCAGCUAGUUCCCUUGCAGAAAAGAGGGAUAUGGGUGCAGGCUUUGUCUGGUAUGUUAGGAUGUCCUUAGCCACUCUUCACACUCUUUCAUCUGCCGUUUGCGAAAGAGGCAGUGUUAUGAGUGACUCAGUUCCUACUUACCUUUAGGCCUCUCAGUGUUUAAGCUUGAGAAAGCAGGCUCCUGGUAGGGCCCACAAGCCAGAACUCUGUGGUCAUGAGCUGAAUGCCUUUUGCUCUCAAUUAGUUCCCUUGCAGAAAAGAGGGAUAUGGGGGGGCAGGCUCUUUCUGGUACAUUAGGAAUACACUUCACAGUCCUAAUUUGCUGUUGAUCACUGAUUCGGGGAGAGGGGUGUGGUAAGCGACCUUCGCCCUACCAUGGGGCCUUACAAUUUUGAAGCUGACCUUGGGUAGAGGUCUAAAAGCCAGAACUCUGUGGCCAGGAGCAAGAACGCCUUUUGCUCUCAGCUAGUUCCCUUACAGAAAAGAGGGAUAUGGGUGCAGGCUUUGUCUGGUACGUUAGGAUGUCCUUAGCCACUCUUCACACUCUUUCAUCUGCCGUUUGCGAAAGAGGCAGUGUUAUGAGUGACUCAGUUCCUACUUACCUUUAGGCCUCUCCGUGUUUAAGCUUGAGAAAGCAGGCUCCUGGUAGGGCCCACAAGCCAGAACUCUGUGGUCAUGAGCUGAAUGCCUUUUGCUCUCAACUAGUUCCCUUGCAGAAAAGAGGGAUGUGGAGGGCAGGCUCUUUCUGGUACAUUAGGAAUACGCUUCACAUUCCUAAUUUGCUGUUGAUCACUGAUUUGGGGAGAGGGGUGAGGCAAGCGACCUUCGCCCUACCAUGGCGCCUUACAAUUUUGAAGCUGGCCUUGGGUAGAGGUCUAAAAGCCAGAACUCUGGCCAUGAGCAGAAUGCCUUUUGCUCUCAGCUAGUUCCCUUGCAGAAAAGAGGGAUAUGGGGGCUUCAGGCUCUCUCUGUUUCUUUAAGAAGACCUCAGCCACUCUUCACACUCUUUCAUCUGGCGUUUGUGGAAGAGGCAGUGUUACGAGUGACUCAGUUCGUACCCUUAGCUUCUCAGUGUUUAAGCUUGAGAAAGCAGGCUCCUGGUAGGGCCCACAAGCCAGAACUCUGUGGUCAUGAGCUGAAUGCCUUUUGCUCUCAACUAAUUCCCUUGCAGAAAAGAGGGAUAUGGGGGGGGCAGGCUCUUUCUGGUACAUUAGGAAUACGCUUCACAUUCCUAAUUUGCUGUUGAUCACUGAUUCGGGGAGAGGGGUGAGGCAAGCGACCUUCGCCCUACCAUGGCGCCUUACAAUUUUGAAGCUGGACUUGGGUAGAGGUCUAAAAGCCAGAACUCUGUGGUCAUGAGCUGAAAGCCUUUUGCUCUCAUCUAGUUCCCUUGCAGAAAAGAGGGAUAUGGAGGCAUGCUCUGUCUGGUACAUUAUUAGGAAGGCACGUUGCAUUCCUAAGAUGCUAUUUUUCACUUUUUUGGGGAGAGGGGUGCGGUAAGCGACCUAAUUCCUACAAUGGAGCCUUACAAUUUUGAAGCUUGAGCCAGCUAACCCUGGAUAGGGGUUUAAAAGCCAGAAAUCUGUGGCUAUGAACAGAAAGCCUUUUGCUCUCAACUACUUCCCUUGCAGAAAAGAGGGAUAUGGGUACAGGCUCUGUCUGGACCUUAGGAAGGCCUAGUCCAUUCCUCAGACUCCUUCAUCUUUUUUUUUUUGCGGGAGAGAUAGAAUGACCACUGGCUGACUUCCUAUGGUCAUUAGCCACUUGCCAGUAUCAUUUGCCUUGGAGAAACCCUACACUUAAAAAGUGUAGCAUACAGACUCCUAUGGACCUUAAAGCUGGCUCUAGCUGUUUUCUUCAAAGUUCUUGCCACAACCUGGAGUGAGAACCAUCCUAUUUGGAACCAAUAGGAUCUCCACCCAGAAAAUGCAGAGUUCCGGAGGAUCUGGACCUGACGGGGUCUGGUCCCCGCAACCCAGAGAAGACAACUUGGGAAUUCCUGAAGAUCUGGACCUGACGGGGUCCGGUCCCCGCAACCCAGAGAUGAGGACUUGAGAGUUCUUGAGGAUCCGGACCUGACGGGGUCCGGCCCCCGCAACCCAGAGAGGACAACUUGGGAAUUCCUGAAGAUCCGGACCUGACGGGGUCCGGCCCCCGCAACCCAGAGAGAGGAUGACUUGGAAGUUUCUGAAGAACUGGACCUGACGGGGUCCGGUCCCCGCAACCCAGAGAGGAUGACUUCGGAGUUUCUGAAGAUCCGGACCUGACGGGGUCCGGCCCCCGCAACCCAGAGAAAGGACGACUUGGAAAUUUCUGAAGAUCCGGACCUGACGGGGUCCGGUCCCCGCAACCCAGAGAAAGGACGACUUGGAAAUUUCUGAAGAUCCGGACCUGACGGGGUCCGGCCCCCGCAACCCAGAGAGGACAACUUGGAAGUUUCCGAAGAUCUGGAUCCAAUGGGAUCACAACCCAGAAAAUGAAGGAGUUCCUGAAGAUCGGGACCUGAUGGGGUCCAGACUCUGCAACCCAGAGAUGACGGCUCUGGAAUUCCUGCGGAUCUAGAUCUGAUGACAUCACAACUCAGAGAACUGAGCUCUUCUUUUAGGAGUUCCUGGGGAUCUGGACCUGACGGGGUCCGGCCCCCGCAACCCAGAGAGGACAACUUGGAAGUUCACGAAGAUCCGGACCUGACGGGGUCCGGCCCCCGCAACCCAGAGAGGACAACUUGGAAGUUCACGAAGAUAUGGAUCCAAUGGGAUCACAACCCAGAAAAUGGAGGAGUCCCUGAAGAUCCGGACCUGACGGGGUCCGGCCCCCGCAACCCAGGAAGGACUUGGGAGUUCCUGAAGAUCUAGAAGCAAUGGGAUCACAACUCAGAAAACUAAGGAAUUCAGUGGAUCUGGACCUGAUAAGAUCCGUCCCCCAUAAUCCUGAUAGAAGAUCGCUCAGGUGUUUUUCGUGCAUCCAGGCCUGCUGGGGUCUAGCCCUUGCAACUCAGAGAAAGUACUUCUGUGAAAAAAACUACCUAUUAUCUUAUGUACUUAGAUUCAGCUUUUUGAAGCUGUCUCUGUCUCUAUCUCCUGAAGGUCUGAAUUGACCUGAUAGCCUGGAGGGGGGGGUGGCGGCGGGACAAUACAACAUACAGCAAAUCAACCUGUUAAACUAAAUAAACACUGUCAGUGUGUGUAUGCUGGGUUUGCUGUCAAAUAAAGAGAGAUGAUAAAUGA